AUGUACACAGAAGAAAUGCCGUAUCCAUCCUGCUGCCUUGCCGCUCAUCCUCAUCUCGUGCUCCCUCUCCGUCCGUCCGUCCGUCCAGUGUGUUCCUGCAUGGAUGAUCUGGGACCAAGAGCACGUGCGACGCUGGGUGGUUCUCCUUCCUCGUGCACGCCCGACGACGAGGCAGCUUUCUCCGAUGGCGGCUGGGCUGCUGCUGCUCCAAGGAACCGCUGGUCAACCGAGAGGCUGGAGCUGGCCGCAUUGCAUCUGCAUCAGAACAGAGUCGCCGUGGUAGCCGUUAUUGCUGGCCUCCAGUUUCACGCUGCCGUAGAGAUGGGGCAUGAAGUGGUGGUGCCCGCCGAGAGGAGGCGGCUUGCUGUCCACGAGCGCGCCGAACUGCUCCGGGGGGGAGGAGGUGGCGGUGAGCGCGGAGGGCGGCGACGGCGAGGGGUUGGUGUUGCUGGCGUGGUCGUCGUCGGGAAUGUUGACGGUGGUGAUGUCGUGGAUGCUGGAGCGGCGCUUGUCCUUGCCGCCGGAGUUGAGCCGGAUGAAGUACUUCUGCGCGUGGCUGGCCACCUGCGUCGGCGUCCGGCUGGUCACGUAGUUGCGCGAGAUGUUCCGCCAGUCCCCUCGCCCGUACUUCUUCAGGCCCAUCAAGAACAGCCUACGGCAAACAGGAGUUCGUCCCACCGAUCAACGACACGCGCAACGAGAUUUGAAGCCGUACAUGUGUGGGUUAAGUAA
rnacentral:rRNA from 1 species